GGACGAACGCUGGCGGCGUGCCUAAUACAUAGGCAAGUCGAACGGUCUUUCUAUGGAAGCUUGCUUCCACUGAGAAGAUAGUGGCGAACGGGUGAGUACACGUGGGUAACCUGCCAUAAGAGGGGGAUAACAUCCGGAAACGGUGCUAAUACCGCAUAGUUUUCUUGAUCGCAUAGAUUGAGAAAGGAAAGACGGCCUUUGUGCUGUCGCUUAUGGAUGGACCCGCGGCGUAUUAGUUAGUUGGUGAGGUAACGGCUCACCAAGACGAUGAUACGUAGCCGACCUGAGAGGGUGAUCGGCCACAUUGGGACUGAGACACGGCCCAAACUCCUACGGGAGGCAGCAGUAGGGAAUCUUCCGCAAUGGACGAAAGUCUGACGGAGCAACGCCGCGUGAGUGAAAGAAGGUUUUCGGAUCGUAAAACUCUGUUGUCAGAGAAGAACAAGUUGGAGAGUAACUGCUCCAGCCUUGACGGUAUCUGACCAGAAAGCCACGGCUAACUACGUGCCAGCCGCGGC
rnacentral:rRNA from 1 species